UUUAGCAUCGGGCUAGUCAAUCUAUAUAAAUGACAGUGAUCCUGAAAACCCAAACGCCAAUACCUCUGAUGGCAAUGGCAACAGCGUAUAACUCCAUGGCAUUACUUCGCUGAUGGAUCUGACAAGCAUUUAAAACAGCUGGUAAACCCGGACCUGUCGUCGGCUGAGCUGGAAACAUACAAGGCGACCACAAAAAAAUAUAGGCUUCAGCAAAAACCUACCUGAGCAUUACACCACAGCACGAAGAAAUGAAAAGAUCUGUGAAAUUCAAAGCAAAUAAUUAUUACUGUUUGCACAAGAGUUAUUCACUGAAAAAUACCGUGAGGGGGAACAGAAAUGUAAGUAUUCUUACAUGUAAAUACAACGCUGGUUUAUUGCAUACAUUCUCUUGUUCAUUCACACUGUUGUUAGUUCUAUUUCUUCAGAAACUGCCAACUUAAUCCCAAAUUAGCGAACUGUAAUUCCAGUGG